UACGUAGGGUGCGAGCGUUAAUCGGAAUUACUGGGCGUAAAGUGUGCGCAGGCGGCCGAGCAAGUCGAGUGUGAAAGCCCCGAGCUUAACUUGGGAACUGCGCUCGAAACUACUUGGCUAGAGUGUGGCAGAGGGAGGUGGAAUUCCACGUGUAGCGGUGAAAUGCGUAGAGAUCGGGAGGAACACCAGAGGCGAAGGCGGCGACCUGGACAAGUACUGACACUCAACUACGAAAGCGUGGGGAGCAAACAGG
rnacentral:rRNA from 1 species